GAAUAUGAGGGUAAUAUGAUUGUGACAUCUCUCACCACAUCAGCUGCUAUGGCUGGCUAAGUGUGUGUCCCCUCCCUCCCUCACAUCACCAUGUGCAUCCCCCCAAAGCCGCACUCACAAUCAACUUCCCCAAAAUAGAGAAGGACCAUUCUCCAGUCACAGAUACAUAAUAAGCUGGGCUCACACUCUUGACCCUCCAAAAAAGCUCUUAACUGUCAAUCUCACAAACCAAAUAAGGCAUGUGUGGUGGUGCAUGCCAUUCAGGAAGCCUGCUGGAAGUUCAAGGCCAUCCCCU
rnacentral:snRNA from 1 species